rnacentral:rRNA from 1 species
AGUGAACGCUGGCGGUAGGCCUAACACAUGCAAGUCGAACGGCAGCACAGUAAGAGAUUGCUCUUACGGGUGGCGAGUGGCGGACGGGUGAGGAAUACAUCGGAAUCUACUUUUUAGUGGGGGAUAAAGUAGGGAAACUUACGCUAAUACCGCAUACGACCUACGGGUGAAAGCAGGGGAUCUUCGGACCUUGCGCGAUUGAAUGAGCCGAUGUCGGAUUAGCUAGUUGGCGGGGUAAAGGCCCACCAAGGCGACGAUCCGUAGCUGGUCUGAGAGGAUGAUCAGCCACACUGGAACUGAGACACGGUCCAGACUCCUACGGGAGGCAGCAGUGGGGAAUAUUGGACAAUGGGCGCAAGCCGGAUCCAGCCAUACCGCGUGGGUGAAGAAGGCCUUCGGGUUGUAAAGCCCUUUUGUUGGGAAAGAAAAGCAGCAGGUUAAUACCCCGCUGUUCUGACGGUACCCAAAGAAUAAGCACCGGCUAACUUCGUG